rnacentral:rRNA from 1 species
UACAGGGGGGGGCAAGCGUUGUUCGGAAUUACUGGGCGUAAAGGGCCAGUAGGCGGCCAACUAAGUCACACGUGAAAUCCCCGGGCUCAACCCGGGAACUGCGUCCGAUACUGGCAGGCUUGAAUCCGGGAGAGGGAUGGCGGAAUUCCAGGUGUAGCGGUGAAAUGCGCAGAAUAUCAGGAGGAACACCGGUGGCGAAGGCGGGUCUCGUGGGCCGAAUGAUUGACGCUGGAGGAGCGAAAGCGUGGGGAGCAAACAGGA